rnacentral:rRNA from 1 species
CCACGGGUGGCUGCAGUGGGGAAUAUUGGACAAUGGGCGAAAGCCUGAUCCAGCCAUGCCGCGUGUGUGAAGAAGGCCUUCGGGUUGUAAAGCACUUUCAGUGGGGAAGAAAGCCUUGGGGCUAAUACCCUCGAGGAAGGACAUCACCCACAGAAGAAGCACCGGCUAACUCCGUGCCAGCAGCCGCGGUAAUACGGAGGGUGCGAGCGUUAAUCGGAAUUACUGGGCGUAAAGCGCGCGUAGGCGGUCUGAUAAGCCGGUUGUGAAAGCCCCGGGCUCAACCUGGGAACGGCAUCCGGAACUGUCAGGCUAGAGUGCAGGAGAGGAAGGUAGAAUUCCCGGUGUAGCGGUGAAAUGCGUAGAGAUCGGGAGGAAUACCAGUGGCGAAGGCGGCCUUCUGGACUGACACUGACGCUGAGGUGCGAAAGCGUGGGUAGCAAACAGGAUUAGAUCCCCAGUAGU